GGGGGGGGCAGCAGUGGGGAAUAUUUGGCAAUGGGGGCAAGCCUGAUCCACCCCUACCGCGUGGGUGAAGAAGGCCUUCGGGUUGUAAAGCCCUUUUUUUGGGAAAGAAAUCCAGCUGGCUAAUACCCGGUUGGGAUGACGGUUCCCCAAGAAUAAGCACCGGCUAACUUCGUGCCAGCAGCCGCGGUAAUACGAAGGGUGCAAGCGUUUCUCGGAAUUACUGGGCGUAAAGCGUGCGUAGGUGGUUUUUUAAGUCCGUUGUGAAAACCCUGGGCUCAACCUGGGAACUGCAGUGGAUACUGGGCGACUAGAAUGUGGUAGAGGGUAGCGGAAUUCCUGGUGUAGCAGUGAAAUGCGUAGAGAUCAGGAGGAACAUCCAUGGGGAAGGCAGCUACCUGGACCAACAUUGACACUGAGGCACGAAAGCGUGGGGAGCAAACAGGAUUAGAUACCCUGGUAGUCCACGCCCUAAACGAUGCGAACUGGAUGUUGGGUGCAAUUUGGCACGCAGUAUCGAAUCUAACGCGUUAAUUUCCCCGCCUGGGGAGUACGGUCGCAAGACUGAAACUCAA
rnacentral:rRNA from 1 species